GUGCUUACAUUGGCAGCACAUGAACCAAACCUGGAACAAUACAGAGAAGAUUAGCAUGGUCCCUGAGUAGGAGUGACAUGCAAAUUUGUGAAGCACUUCAUAUUUUU
ensembl:snRNA U6 U6 spliceosomal RNA